rnacentral:tRNA from 1 species
GGAGAGAUGCGAGAGUGGUUUAAUCGGCACGCCUGGAAAGCGUGAGUAGGGGUGACCCCUCUACCGAGGGUUCGAAUCCCUCUCUCUCCGCCA